UACGUAGGGUGCGAGCGUUAAUCGGAAUUACUGGGCGUAAAGCGUGCGCAGGCGGUUGGCAAAGUCAGCUGUGAAAGCCCCGGGCUUAACCUGGGAAUGGCGGUUGAAACUAGUCGACCCGAAUCUGGCAGAGGGGGGUGGAAUUCCACGUGUAGCAGUGAAAUGCGUAGAUAUCGUAAGGAAGACCAGUGGCGAAGGCGGAUCUCUGGACAGUUACUGACACUGAGGCACGAAGGCCAGGGGAGCAAACGGG
rnacentral:rRNA from 1 species